GCCGACAUAGCUCAGCUGGUAGAGCAGCGCACUUGUAAUGCGCAGGUCAUCGGUUCAAAUCCGAUUGUCGGCU
rnacentral:tRNA from 1 species